rnacentral:lncRNA from 1 species
GAGAGACUCCACCGGGGAAAACGCCGUUGUGCUAGGCAUUUCAGUGCUGGGUAAGUCGUAGACAUUGCAUCUGUGGUCAAUGCUUUUUGCAUGUUAUAUUCUCAAUUUUCAUUCAUCAUUUUUUGCAUCCCAUUUUUGCUUGGAUCGCCCUUUCGGGUUUUCGACCCACCGGGGAAAUAAAUUCUUUUCAAUGCCCCAUUUUUGCCUGAACUGCCCUUUCGGGUUGUC